rnacentral:RNase_P_RNA from 1 species
ACGUUUGGGUAAUCGCUGUAGCUGCCUUUCGCGGCUAUAGAGGAAAGUCCAUGCUCGCACGAUCUGAGAUGGUCGUAGUGUUCGUGCCUAGUGAAAAGAUAAGCUAGGGUAGUCCGGCUAUUGCUGGACUAACGGCAAGAGAAACGCCUAAGUCUAUUGAUAUGGCCGAGUAUCUUUGAAAGUGCCACAGUGACGGAGUUCUGCCGGAAACGGACGGAAGUGGAACGAGGUAAACCCCGCGAGCGAGAAACUCAAAUUUGGUAGAGGAACUCUCCUGAAGGAAAUGAACGGACGGAGGGACAGGCUAAUCAGCCCUGUAGAUAGAUGAUUACCGCCGCUGUACGAGGACGUCUCGUCCGCUUUAGUACAAUGGAACAGAACAUGGCUUACAAAA